ACGUCGAAGUGGCUGUGAAAUG
rnacentral:miRNA from 1 species